CCAGCCCUGUCACACCCCCCUCCCAGAACUGCUGAAGGCCUCCAAGGUAUGCGUUACUGCAGGAAAUGGAUCAUGGUCUGGACACCACAGAAAGAACCAUCACCUUUCUAUUGAGCUGUAUUGAUGGCAGUAACACAGACAGCAGCCUUAGACUUUGCUUCAGAGCGGUAUCAUUUCAGAACAUAGGUUUGUUUUUUUUAAGAUAUCAGUGCAUAGCUGUGUUCUGUUCCCAGCUUACAGAUAGCCUAGGUCAUCUAGUUUUAUGACAGAAACAAAGGGGGAAAAUAGACAAAUAAUUCUUAAGCAGAACUAGGACUAAAAAUUAUAUCCAGCUUACCAGAAGUAAUCUGGGGGAAAAUUAAUGCCCUGCUUUACCCCUAGACAGCUUGCAUCCUUGUAACUACUGGACAUAUCAAUAUAGUAGGAAAAACAUCACAACAAAGGCAUGAUGAUGGAAAAACUAACACAAUAGAAAGAAGCUACAAAAAAGGGGAAAAGAUUGCUCACCAGCAACAGAAGAUUCUAUGAUUGCAAGGGAAAGCUCUCAAAAGGAGGGAUCUCCAAAGAGAGAUCAUUCCUCACCGGCAGUCAGCCCUUAAAUGAGGUCUAAGAGAGGUGCAGCCAGGCUCCACCCCUUUUGGUCACACACCUGAAUUGACUUCAUCUGUGCUCCCAGGGCUGACUGGGUCCUUUCCCCAGGUGCUCAAUCAGUGGUUCAUGCCAUUACUCAGCAGUUCCCAUACAACCAUCAAGGCCAUCAGGAGUUAAAGUUGAUACAACUAAAUACAUGCCAUGCUUUCUGCUUAAAUGUUUCUUGAAUAAAUAAUAUACCCAGUGAAAACUUCUAGAGAAGCAUUACAAAGAGCUGUUCUAUACCAGGGACUGGACUUCAUCCUUAUGGGUCCGUCCAACUCAGAACGUUCUACACUUCUGAUUUAUUUAUUUAUUUUGUACAGAAGGAAAAGCCUACUUGUCUGUUUUUCUGUGAUUGUUUUGUUGGCUUCUGUUUUAUUUUUUUCUUCCUUUAUUUCUCAACUCCGUCCUUCCCCGCCCCUCCCCUGCAACAUGUGCAUUUCAGUGAGUCUGAAAUCGCAAAGGAAUCAGAUAACCCUUCUGUUACUCCAGCUGUUGAUGGGAAUUCAUGGUCUGCAUGUCUGGGUUACGCAGCCACCUCCACCGAGGACAGUUCCAUCUUCUCUCAGGGCUAUGACGUGACACCAUUUCCAAGUGUUUCUUGUAACUUGAAACCUGAUAAUGGGUAGGAAAAUGGAAAAGAGUCAUCUCCGCUUUUGGCACUCGAGGUUUCUGUUUUGCCAGUCACCUUCCUUGUUUUUCUUCUUUGCCUCUCAUUCUGUGUUUUCAGUUAAAAAACAGUGAAGUAAAAUCUUUGGGAGAGAUCUUUCAGUAUCUCAUAUUCGAUCUUUUCCACUGAGAAAGAAAUCUACCUGGUUGUGAUCACUGGAUGAUUUCUGGGUUUUUGUUUUGUUUUGUUUUGUUUUUUGCUUUUUUGUUUUGUUUUGUUUUUUAAUACAUGUACACAAUAGGAAGAUGGUAAAAAUCCUCAGGAUGUAGAAGAAGAGCAGAGCAUCUUUUGGAGAGCACUGGUAGAUGAACUGCUCCAGUUGUCUCUGUAAGGACGAUAUUGUACUGCUCUCCUCAGGGCAAAGUUCUGCCUGAAAAGAUUUCUUGAACACUAAAAUAUGUUGUUCAGGAAUUGCUGUUAAUUUUACUUGCUGGCAAUCCUUUCUAUAGCAAUUACUAUGGCCAUAGCAGUCCUCUGUACAUCACCUUUAUAUCUGUUCUUGAUGCUGAAGCUUUGAUUGUGAGUGCCAAUAACAUACACACAAAGUCUGUUAUGAGCUUCCUUCCUCUCAGAACUCCCUUGUAUUCACAAAUACAAAUUAAGGGAGAGCCAUGUUGCUCCUAUCCAAACUGCCUAUCCCUGACACACCCAGCUGAAGCUGUCUCGAGCUCAGUGUUUCAGGAAGGAAUUUCAAUUUUUCAUAAAAUUUCUUUACUAUUUUUAGCAUUAAUCGCGUGGACAUCAGCAACACUUCUGUGAACCUGUCCUCCUUUUUGACUCAGACCUGCCUCAGAAGCUUAGAGUUUUCCAAACUAUUACUAAGUGUUGCAGGCACUUUCCAAGUAAUACAUAAGAUCAGUGUGAUGUUUAUUCAUGUUUCCCCCGUGUUCCAGAAAGACCUCUGUAGUGAUCUUUAAAGCAAAACCUGUUGUAGUACGUCCAAUUCUACCUCUAGUUCCCUAUUUCUGUUGUCAAACCAGGUUGUUAAACUAUGAGUGAGGGUGAGUUUCUCCUAAUUUGCUCCACGCUCCCUGCAUGUUGACUUUAUUGGGACUUUUGCUUAUGGAGGUCUUUCAUUGCUGGGAGUUCCCUGGCAUAGCAUUUGCAUGGUCAUCAAGGCAAGGUGUAUACUGACGCUAAGGACACUGGGCUGGCGGCAGAGCACAGGCCAUUUCUCAUACUAUUUGGACUAUUUGGACUUUUAUAGGGUGUAACUUUUGGACUAUUCUCUGGCAGAUGUAAUGAAGAGAAUUAUGUUUCAAGUUGCACGUUGUUCACCAUCAGGAUUUCAAUGUGAAUAAUAAUAGGCACUUGUAGUACACAUGUAGCUUCAUUUCUAAAAUAGGAAAUAGUAUUUUCCUUAGAGAAAAUCACCAGAAUGGUGAAGGUAAGUUCCGAUUAAAUAGGUUAAUUAGGUUAAUAGGUUAGACAGAGCAAAGAUCAACAAAACUCAAUUAUUGAAGUUUCAAGACCAACAGAAAGAAGUAUUGGCAGAGAUUUUAAAGUAUUAGUGUCUAGUCUCUGCGUGGUUUGGAACAGGUUCAGCUUCAGAAGAUAAUCUGAGAAAUGAGUAGAUGCAAAGGGCAGUCCUUAACGUUGUAAUGCAGCAAUUGAGGUUUUUCUGAGGAACCUUUCACUUCUCAGGAACGGGAAUGGUGCUCACUUCUGAACUCAACUUUCUCAUUCAGAGUCUUUUCCCUACCUUUGGAGGGGUAUUCGGAGGGUUUUCCUAAAUGACACUAAUACAUCCAAAGGGCUGAAAAUGAGCAAGAGUAAUUGUCCUUGUACCUUUCAUGUGCUGUCAUCCUAACACAAAUCCACUGGAAUUUUGGCAGCUUUUUGUUGUUGUUGUUGUUGAGAUGACACCACCAGUCUUCUGGAGAAUUUCAAAGCAUUUAAACUGAUAUAUUUCACAAGUAAUCACAGCUGCCUUGCCCUUCCUAAAACUUACAUAAAGAUUUUAAAAGAGUAUACGUAGCUCUGCAUGUUUUUGAAACAAAAUAAAGUUUAUUAUAGUUGAAGUGGAGACGUAGCGUGGGCUUUAGCUCCAAUUGCAUCAUUAGUCCUGCCUACAUUAUUCAAUAUACUUCAGUUGUCAUACGUAUGUUGCAAAACCUAAAGUGUGCAGGGAACAAAUCUGGCCAUUAAAUUUACAUAACGCAUAGUGACAUUUCUCUGGACUGUGGGCAAACACAGGAAAAACAAAACUUACACUUCAGAAAGCCAUCUACAAAUGCAAGGAAAAAAUAGAUUAAGCACAAGGACUGUACUGUAAGAACUAGUGAGGAAAAUCUUUUACUCCAUUUUUAGGCAAGGUUUAUUGCAGGUAACUGGACUGUAGAGUGUAAAAAGCUGAAAUACCAGCUUGGAGUUUUAGGAAGAAGAUAAAAAGCUUUAAGACAUUAUUUGAGGUUGAUUAAACAUGUCAACAGUGUGGAGGAAAAGAGCGCAAAGCCCUUAUAAGUGCAAACAUAAAAUAUUGCAAGUGUUAUGGUAUUAGAUAAAAUAAAACAUAAAAAUAAUUUCAGGUCUGCAUCCUGGCUACUAAAACUGCACUUAUUUUCCAUUUGCAAUACUAUCAUUUAAGGAUAUAAAGACUUAUAUUUUAAGGGAGAUUAAGCAGGAUACAACAGGAAGUCAAGCACUAAACAGUUGUGAUGCCAUAUUGUUGUUUAAAAGAGGGAUUAAGUAGCAUAGAGGAAAGGCUAAGUCAGGGCUUAAACCAGUGAUUGAGCACCUGGUGGGAAGGCAGGGCCAACCCAGGGGAGCUCAGGUGCAUGUAAUGUAGCUAAAUGACUGGGAGUGGUGGACCCGGGAUAUACCCCUUCCCAGCCCUCAUUUAAGGGUUGGCAGUGGAAGGAUGGGUAUCUCUUGUUGGAGGUCCCUGUGAAUCUAUAGUCUUCUGAAGAGGUUAGAAGAGAUUGAAGUUAUCCGAGAAUCUUCUGACAAAUGAUCUCUGUAUGUGGAAAGGUGUGGCACGAUACCGCAGUUCUUCAAAGCAUUAUGUGAACAGUACAGAUACAGAUGUCCUGAGUGCUUCACCUCAUUCACCCAACUGCACUUGAAGAUGUCCUUGGAAUGAGGAACACUUCAAAGAUUCAAGUCCAAGUUUCAAGUUCAAUGUGGUUGUUGAAGAGCACCAGUGUUUAAGCACUUUACUCCAGGCCUCUCUUCGGUUCUGAAAGCAUCAGAUAACAGCUGCAAGCUUUAAAAAGCAGCUGGAUAUAAGUGGUGUACCCUAUAAUCUGUUCAAAGCCUUUUGUACUGUAACACUUCUGUCUUUGAAACCAAUAAUCUCUUUUUUUUUGUUUCAAACUUUUUGAUGGAUUAUGUUUCUUGGAAUUGCCCAGACUCUCUAAACUGAGGUUUGUUUUGAGGAACUGUAGGGGCUGGGUUUUAAUUUGUCCCAGUUUUCUCCUCUUGCUGUAUUAUGCAAGCUUCUCAUUUUGUGUUUAUACCAUUAAGAUAUUGCUUAGGAAUACUAUUACUUGAAUAGUUCUGGAGAUCAAAUUGCCCAUGGAAAUACCACAUGCGAUAAUGCUGUUAUACUCUGAUUAUAUUAUAUGCUAUUGUGUAUUGUAAUUAGACAUAUUUUAAAAUAGUAUCCCCUAAGGCCAAUGAAAUCAUGUAAUUCAGAACUACUAGGUUAUCCUAAGCAGUCUGAAGGUUCUGGAUGAGUAGACCAGCUCCUGGAAGUCAGUUUCGUGGGAGACCUAUUGGACAACCCUGUGGAGAAAGCUGCUGGCAGCUACUACUGUCUGGGAAAUUGGUUAUAUAAUGUGUGAUGGAGUUUAAAGGGCCCAAGGGGAGCAUUUUGUUAACGAUAGGGAAUAAAACUGCCCAUAGGAAUACUGAGGAGCUGGAGGUAGGAAGCGGUUCCAGUGUUGAGAAUGUUUUGUCUUAGUUCUGACUGUAAGUCUUCUCUCAGGAAGAGAGGUGGAGUGGUUGGAUAUGUUUGUAGCUGCAUGCUGUUAUCUAAAACUACUUGUAUUUUUUAUACAAUACUUUGAAGCAAUUUCUAUGAAGUUAUGUGUUAAGCAUUGUUAUUAAUUGUAAGCAGUUGUUUGUAAUGCUUUGAACUAAGUAAAAUCACCUUCAGGUGAUUUUUCUUUUUUUUUCCCCCUCUAGUAUUAUCCUCACUAGUAUUGCUUCUGCACAUCCUUAACGGUACUAUGCUGAUACAACCUAUCUGAAUAAAGUGAAAUAAUGCUUCCUUUGCAGUGUUCAGAGUGCAGGCCUUAAUCAUCCUUAAUUUUUAAGUCUAAUCCUCAAGUUAGAACAAGUGUUUUUUUUAUCUUCUUGAGCAACAGAUAAGCUUCUUGUAGAACCACUAUUGCUGAAUGAGAAAUACC
ensembl:lncRNA